GAUGAACGCUAGCGGCAGGCCUAACACAUGCAAGUCGAGGGAGAAGCCUUCGGGCUGAAACCGGCGCACGGGUGCGUAACGCGUAUACAAUCUGCCUUUCACAUAGGGAUAGCCCGAAGAAAUUUGGAUUAAUACCUAAUGGUAUAUAGGAGCGGCAUCGUUUUUAUAUUAAAGCUACGGUGGUGAAAGAUGAGUAUGCGUUCUAUUAGCUAGUUGGAGAGGUAACGGCUCCCCAAGGCGACGAUAGAUAGGGGUUCUGAGAGGGAUGUCCCCCACACUGGUACUGAGAUACGGACCAGACUCCUACGGGAGGCAGCAGUGAGGAAUAUUGGACAAUGGUCGGAAGACUGAUCCAGCCAUGCCGCGUGCAGGAUGAAGGUCCUAUGGAUUGUAAACUGCUUUUGUAAGGGAAGAAUAAGGAGUACGUGUACUUUGGGAC
rnacentral:rRNA from 1 species